AAUCACAUGUAUGUCAUGGUUUAUCAUGUAUUAUCUACGUGAACUUGACAAGGUCCAACAUGAUGUAUCGCGUGAAUUCUCUGUGUGAAAAUUGUUUGUCUGAUUCAGUGUCAGAACAUAAACAGAAUUUAUCGACGCUUACAGGUUUCACACCGCUUUAGUUCGGUGGUGGAGGAGUUACCUGAACACAAGCAGCUUGAGCGGAUAGUAGUAACCAUCGCCGAUGAAUGUCGUAAUAUUUAUCAGUUUUGAUGUCGUUUUAUUCAUUUACGAAUUGACGAAUUUGACGAGAUUUAUUACGCAAUAUAUUUCGAUAAUGUCUGAUAACCAUUUCUGAUGUAUUAAAAAUUAUAGAAAUAAAUGAAAAAUAUACGUUGCAUAAAACGAGAUAGCUAUCGGAUACUCAAA